rnacentral:rRNA from 1 species
GCAGCAGUGGGGAAUAUUGGACAAUGGGCGCAAGCCUGAUCCAGCAAUGCCGCGUGUGUGAAGAAGGCCUUCGGGUUGUAAAGCACUUUUAUCGGGAGCGAAAUACUAUCGGUUAAUAACCGGUGGGGCUGACGGUACCCGAGGAAUAAGCACCGGCUAACUUCGUGCCAGCAGCCGCGGUAAUACGAAGGGUGCAAGCGUUAAUCGGAAUUACUGGGCGUAAAGGGUGCGUAGGCGGUUUGUUAAGUCUGUCGUGAAAUCCCCGGGCUCAACCUGGGAAUGGCGAUGGAUACUGGCAAGCUAGAGUGUGUCAGAGGAUGGUGGAAUUUCCGGUGUAGCGGUGAAAUGCGUAGAGAUCGGAAGGAACAUCAGUGGCGAAGGCGGCCAUCUGGGACAACACUGACGCUGAAGCACGAAAGCGUGGGGAGCAAACAGGAUUAGAUACCCUGGUAGUCCACGCCCUAAACGAUGCGAACUGGAUGUUGGUCUCAACUCGGAGAUCAGUGUCGAAGCUAACGCGUUAAGUUCGCCGCCUGGGGAGUACGGUCGCAAGACUGAAACUCAAAGGAAUUGACGGGGGCCCGCACAAGCGGUGGAGUAUGUGGUUUAAUUCGAUGCAACGCGAAGAACCUUACCUGGCCUUGACAUGUCUGGAAUCCUGCAGAGAUGCGGGAGUGCCUUCGGGAAUCAGAACACAGGUGCUGCAUGGCUGUCGUCAGCUCGUGUCGUGAGAUGUUGGGUUAAGUCCCGCAACGAGCGCAACCCUUGUCCUUAGUUGCCAGCACGUAAUGGUGGGAACUCUAAGGAGACUGCCGGUGACAAACCGGAGGAAGGUGGGGAUGACGUCAAGUCCUCAUGGCCCUUACGGCCAGGGCUACACACGUACUACAAUGGUCGGUACAGAGGGUUGCAAUACCGCGAGGUGGAGCCAAUCCCAGAAAGCCGAUCCCAGUCCGGAUCGGAGUCUGCAACUCGACUCCGUGAAGUCGGAAUCGCUAGUAAUCGCGGAUCAGCUAUGCCGCGGUGAAUACGUUCCCGGGCCUUGUACACACCGCCCGUCACACCAUGGGAGUGAGUUGCUCCAGAAGCCGUUAGUCUAACCGCAAGG